CACACACACACACACACACAAUGCAUCCCUAUACACACAGAAACACAACAUGCUUCCCUUACACACAGAAAAACACACAAUGCAACCCUUACACAUAAAGACAAUGCAUCAUUUGCACAUAUACACAGAAACACACAAUGCAUUCCUUACACACACAUGCAAACACACACUGCUUCUCUUACACACACACAGAAACACAAUGCAUCUCUUACACACACUCAACGCACCCCUUACAGACACACACACUGCAUCCCUUACAUACACAGAAACACACUUUGCAUCCCUUAUGCAUACAAACACAGAUUCACACAAUGCAUCCCUUACACACAACAAGAAACACACAAUACAUCCCUUAUACACAAACACUCACUGCUUUCUAUCCCUUACACAAAAACACACUGCUUCCACUACACACAAACACACUGCAUCACCUACACAAACUGGUAUCCCUAUACACUACAUUACGUAAGCACACACAUUAGAUCCUCUACAGUAACACAUAACACAUCCCCUACACACUCCACUCCCUGUGAGCGAACUCAUGGGUGGAACAUGUAGGUGGACUUAUGGGUGGGCUUUAUGGGCAUACUCACCGUCAGGCCCUGGGGCCCAGACCUUGAGCUGUGUAAGAGGCCCCAAAAAAUGGAGCUGCUUCCCGUUCUCCCAGAACAUUGAAUUUUGUGACCACAGUUACAAAC
rnacentral:lncRNA from 1 species